GGGUCGUUAGCUCAGUUGGUAGAGCAGUUGGCUUUUAACCAAUUGGUCGUAGGUUCGAAUCCCACACGACCCA
rfam:Pseudomonas brenneri strain RGCB 108 Contig001, whole genome shotgun sequence.